rnacentral:snoRNA from 1 species
AACCACAAGGACUUAAGCCGUGUUACUUCUCAUGUGCUAUGUAAAAAUUGAAGGCUAAUUAGCAGUAUGACUAAAUGGUAAUACUGCCAGUCUCCUUCAGACAGUU